CCUCAUGUUUUCACGGUAUUGCAAUGAGAACAAUUUAAAACCCUUAGCGAGAAUCAAGUGGAGGGCAAGUCUGGUGCCAGCACCCGCGGUAAUUCCAGCUCCACUAGCGUAUAUUAAAGUUGUUGCAGUUAAAAAGCUCGUAGUUGAACCUCUGUCUGGGGCUAGUUUUGGCUUUGGUCAGGCUAGUUCUAGGCAUCCGCCUACAAGACUUAGAGGGCAUUCAGUUGUUCACUAGGAGGAGUAGGCAUUUUACUUUGAAAAAAUUAGAGUGUUUAAGGCAGGCAAUCGCCCGCAUAUAUUAGCAUGGAAUAAUAGAAUAGGACACUUUUCCAUUUCGUUGGUUAUUGGAAUCGUGUAAUGAUUAAUAGGGACAGUUGUGGGCAUUUGUAUUUAAUUGUCAGAGGUGAAAUUCUUGGAUUUAUUAAAGACAAACUAACGCGAAAGCAUUUGCCAAGGAUGUUUUCAUUAAUCAAGAACGAAAGUUAGGGGAUCAAAGACGAUCAGAUACCGUCCUAGUCUUAACUAUAAACUAUUCCGACUCAAUGUUUGACUGGCUUAUAUAACCAGUUGAGCGUUGUAUGAGAAAUCAGAGUCUUUAGGUUCUGGGGGGAGUAUGGUUGCAAAGCUGAAACUUAAAGGAAUUGACGGAAGAGCACAACCAGGAGUGGAUUCUGCGGCUUAAUUUGACUCAACACGGGGAAACUUACCAGGUUAAAACAAUAGUGGGAUUGACAGUUUGAGAGCGCUUUCUUGAUUGGUUGGGUGGUGGUGCAUGGCCGUUCUUAGUUGGUGGAGUGAUUUGUCUGCUUAAUUGCGUUAACGAACGAGACCUUAACCUGCUUACUAGACUGGCGAUCAUCAAUCGUUAGCUCUUCUUAGAGGGACUUUGGUUGUUUUAACUCCAAGGAAGUUUGAGGCAAUAACAGGUCUGUGAUGCCCUUAGAUAUCCUGGGCCGCACGCGUCAUACAAUGACUAGUUCAGAAAGUUUUCUCCUGACCCGAAAGGGGAUGGGUAAUCUUGAUAAUACUAGUCGUGUUAGGGAUCGAUCUUUGCAAUUAUAGAUCUUGAACGAGGAAUUCCUAGUAAGUGCGGUUCAUCAGACCGUACUGAUUACGUCCCUGCUCUUUGUACACACCGCCCGUCGCUUCUACCGAGUGGGUGGUCCGGUGAGAUAAUUGAACUUCGCAGGUAACUGAGAGGAAAGAUUAUCAAACCUAUCCACCU
rnacentral:rRNA from 1 species